rnacentral:rRNA from 1 species
GCUUACACAUGCAGUCGAACGAUGAACCGGUUUCGGCCGGGGAUUAGUGGCGAACGGGUGAGUAACACGUGGGCAAUCUGCCCUGCACUCUGGGACAAGCCCUGGAAACGGGGUCUAAUACCGGAUAUGACACAUGAGGGCAUCUUCGUGUGUGGAAAGCUCCGGCGGUGCAGGAUGAGCCCGCGGCCUAUCAGCUAGUUGGUGGGGUAGUGGCCUACCAAGGCGACGACGGGUAGCCGGCCUGAGAGGGCGACCGGCCACACUGGGACUGAGACACGGCCCAGACUCCUACGGGAGGCAGCAGUGGGGAAUAUUGCACAAUGGGCGAAAGCCUGAUGCAGCGACGCCGCGUGAGGGAUGACGGCCUUCGGGUUGUAAACCUCUUUCAGCAGGGAAGAAGCUUUCGGGUGACGGUACCUGCAGAAGAAGCACCGGCUAACUACGUGCCAGCAGCCGCGGUAAUACGUAGGGUGCGAGCGUUGUCCGGAAUUAUUGGGCGUAAAGAGCUCGUAGGCGGCUUGUCGCGUCGGUUGUGAAAGCCCGGGGCUUAACCCCGGGUCUGCAGUCGAUACGGGCAGGCUAGAGUUCGGUAGGGGAGAUCGGAAUUCCUGGUGUAGCGGUGAAAUGCGCAGAUAUCAGGAGGAAC